UACGUAGGUGGCAAGCGUUGUCCGGAAUUAUUGGGCGUAAAGCGCGCGCAGGCGGUCCUUUAAGUCUGAUGUGAAAGCCCACGGCUCAACCGUGGAGGGUCAUCGGAAACUGGGGGACUUGAGUGCAGAAGAGGAGAGUGGAAUUCCACGUGUAGCGGUGAAAUGCGUAGAGAUGUGGAGGAACACCAGUGGCGAAGGCGACUCUCUGGUCUGUAACUGACGCUGAGGCGCGAAAGCGUGGGGAGCAAACAGG
rnacentral:rRNA from 1 species